UACGGAGGGUGCAAGCGUUAUCCGGAUUCACUGGGUUUAAAGGGUGCGUAGGUGGGUUGGUAAGUCAGUGGUGAAAUCUCCAAGCUUAACUUGGAAACUGCCGUUGAUACUAUCAAUCUUGAAUCUCGUGGAGGUAAGCGGAAUAUGUCAUGUAGCGGUGAAAUGCUUAGAUAUGACAUAGAACACCCAUUGCGAAGGCAGCUCGCUACACUAUUAUUGACGCUGAGGCACGAAAGCGUGGGGAUCAAACAGG
rnacentral:rRNA from 1 species